AGAAUCAACGCUGGCGGCGUGCCUAACACAUGCAAGUCGAACGCGAAGACCCAGCAAUGGGUUUGUAGCGUGGCAAACGGGUGAGUAACGCGUGGGCGACUUACCUCCGAGUGGGGGAUAACCUUCCGAAAGGAGGGCUAAUACCGCAUGACAUCCUGCUUUUAAAUAGGCGGACAUCAAAGCUGGGGAUCGCAAGACCUGGCGCUUGGAGAGAGGCCGCGUCCGAUUAGCUAGUUGGUCGAGGUAACGGCUCGACCGAAGGCUCCGAUCGGUA
rnacentral:rRNA from 1 species